rnacentral:rRNA from 1 species
AUUGAACGCUGGCGGCAGGCCUAACACAUGCAAGUCGAACGCGUGGCGGACGGGUGAGUAAUGUCUGGGAAACUGCCUGAUGGAGGGGGAUAACUACUGGAAACGGUAGCUAAUACCGCAUACCAUCAGAUGUGCCCAGAUGGGAUUAGCUUGGUGGUGGGGUAACGGCUCACCAAGGCGACGAUCCCUAGCUGGUCUGAGAGGAUGACCGGCCACAGUGGAACUGAGAAACGGUCAAGACUCCUCGGGGUGGAAGAAGUGGGGAAGAUUGCACAAUGGGGGCAAGCCUGAUGCAGCCAUGCCGCGUGUAUGAAGAAGGCCUUCGGGUUGUAAAGUACUUUCAGCGGGGAGGCGUUACCCGCAGAAGAAGCACCGGCUAACUCCGUGCCAGCAGCCGCGGUAAUUC